UUGCUCUUGUCAUGCACAAGUCUUAAACUUGAAGAGACACAAAGAUUAGCAUGGUUCCUAUUCAAGGAUGGCAUGCAAAUUCAUGACUGUUGCAUAGUUCCC
rnacentral:snRNA from 1 species